rnacentral:lncRNA from 1 species
GUUAAUAAUGUUCGCUGCUUUAUCAAAGACAUUCUCAAGUGAAACUGACUUUUUUUUUUUUUACUGCCCAUGUGUGGUGAUGAACUCAGCCACUGCUCCCACAGCUCGAUGUCGCUGCCCUGCGUUGUGUAGAUGCAAUCACAGUUUUACCCACGAUCAGUGAAAACAUCAACAGUGAAAAAGAUAAAUUUGCCGAGAAUAACUCAUCAUACAUGUGAUUCAGCGAUAUUAAAGAGAGGCCGAGAAAGUAGAACUGUGUCCUCAGGAAUUGCUGGGUCAAAGGGAAAAGUAAACCAGUGAGAGGAGGAAGAUGGGAAAGAAGAAAGGGGAAGGAAGAAGCAAAAGGAAAAGUAAUAAAAUUAGAUCAAGAGGAGAUUAUGAAAAAGAGAGCUGAACUUGUAAAAGAAAAAAGAGGGGGAGAGACUGGAGAGCGAGGAGGAGAGAGCGAGAAAGACAUCGAAACUGAAGAAUAUUCACUUUAAACACGAGAAGGUUGACACAAGCAAGCUGCUUUUAAUUUUUAUGUUAACCCUAAAUGAAAGAGAAACUAAAAUGUGAAGGAGAAAAAGCUUCUAUUUUAGAAGCCUCAAUAUAAUACAUUUAAAGAAAUAUUUUUGUUGUAAAAUGUGUAAAUUGUUUUUGGAAUUAUCUUUUCAAACCAUGUACCUAGAUUUUCUGUAUAUAUUUUAUUAUGUGAGCACAG